rnacentral:hammerhead_ribozyme from 1 species
AUCCAGCUGACGAGUCACAAAUAGGAUGAAACGCACGUCGUCGAU